GCCUAAUACAUGCAAGUCGAGCGGACAGAUGGGAGCUUGCUCCCUGAUGUUAGCGGCGGACGGGUGAGUAACACGUGGGUAACCUGCCUGUAAGACUGGGAUAACUCCGGGAAACCGGGGCUAAUACCGGAUGGUUGUUUGAACCGCAUGGUUCAAACAUAAAAGGUGGCUUCGGCUACCACUUACAGAUGGACCCGCGGCGCAUUAGCUAGUUGGUGAGGUAACGGCUCACCAAGGCAACGAUGCGUAGCCGACCUGAGAGGGUGAUCGGCCACACUGGGACUGAGACACGGCCCAGACUCCUACGGGAGGCAGCAGUAGGGAAUCUUCCGCAAUGGACGAAAGUCUGACGGAGCAACGCCGCGUGAGUGAUGAAGGUUUUCGGAUCGUAAAGCUCUGUUGUUAGGGAAGAACAAGUACCGUUCGAAUAGGGCGGUACCUUGACGGUACCUAACCAGAAAGCCACGGCUAACUACGUGCCAGCAGCCGCGGUAAUACGUAGGUGGCAAGCGUUGUCCGGAAUUAUUGGGCGUAAAGGGCUCGCAGGCGGUUUCUUAAGUCUGAUGUGAAAGCCCCCGGCUCAACCGGCGAGGGUCAUUGGAAACUGGGGAACUUGAGUGCACAAGAGGAGAGUGGAAUUCCACGUGUAGCGGUGAAAUGCGUAGAGAUGUGGAGGAACACCAGUGGCGAAGGCGACUCUCUGGUCUGUAACUGACGCUGAGGAGCGAAAGCGUGGGGAGCGAACAGGAUUAGAUACCCUGGUAGUCCACGCCGUAAACGAUGAGUGCUAAGUGUUAGGGGGUUUCCGCCCCUUAGUGCUGCAGCUAACGCAUUAAGCACUCCGCCU
rnacentral:rRNA from 1 species